rnacentral:lncRNA from 1 species
GACACCCAGGCAGGGUCUGAGCAGAGCCCCCGGCCUUCUCCUCCCCACAGGGCCGGGCAGCCUCUGCCUCAGGAGAAGGCACGGCCUGGUUCAGAGCCCCGAGAGCCUCUGCUGCCAUUUCCCCCAAGGCUGGCAGCUAAACAGCGUGUUUCAAGAAUGUGCUGUGCACUCCUGGAACUUCUAUCCUGAAUGCUGCUUCUGCACGAUAACUUCAUUACCUCAUGCCAUCUUCAGUGUCUGGCUCUUGAGCUUGGAGACAUGAGUGAGUGUUUUAAGUGAAUAUGAAUAUGUUUAAAGAUGAGUAUGUUUGAAU